GCUAGACAUAAAAGCAGAAAGAAAAAUGACACCAGGUCACACGGGUUGUGGAGAGGCCUCAAGGAUCCCCGGAGAACAGGAAUCUGAGCCAGGCCAGCACCUCAGUCAGUCUUACACAUGACAGCCUCAGCUUCCGCCUGGAGACUGCAAGAAAGACCAAGAGAAGAGCUUCCCAGCCAAGUCAGCCAUGGCCAAGGCCUCAUGUAGCAGGCCGUGCUGGACUCAAAUGGACUAUGUGGUCAAGGCUGACCUUGAACUCUGAUCCCCCUGCCCUGUCUCUGCUUACCCCUUCGCCCAGGUUUGGGGUGGGGUUUUGUAUAGGAAACCAAAGCCAGCAGAUUUGUUAUUCUGGUGCAGAGCCCAUAAAGCUUAUGAGGCUCGUUGCCCAGGGUCCUGUAGGUCUGAUGGCGGGGAUUAGGAGUCAAGGUUAGGGCGGACACCCUGCCGCUCAGAGCGUGGAAACAAUGAGUUAUUGCAGUGCGUCCUCAGUCAGCGAUGGGGGCACAGCAAGGCCUGUGUGAAGGGGGCGUCUGGAAACAGCCGCUGACAAGCCAGGCGGCUCGUCUUAUUCCGGAACAUCUGUGUCCCGCUCUACACCAUGGUAGGACGGGGCAGCUGCUUUCCAGCUGUCCCCGGGAAGUCCUCGACAGGGAUAUCAGUGCACGGGGUGGGACCUGGACGCCCAGAGUCUGGGCAUCGCCGUGGAUCUGAUUUCUCUACAAGACGUCCACAGAAACUUUUUUUUUUUUCUUGAACAAUAUUUUCUAGGGACUGGAGAAAUGGCUCGGUGCUAAAGGAAGCCUACUGCUCUUCCGGAGGUCCUGAGUUUGGGUCACAGCACCCAUGUCAGGAGACUCACAUCUACCGGUAACUUCAGCUACAGGGGAGCCAAUGCCCUCUUCCAGCCUCCAUAGGUACCUGAAUGUAUGAGGCACACACACACAACACAAUUUUUUAAAAUCUUUUUUAAAGGGGGUUCUGGAGAGGUGGCUCGGGUUAAGAGCACUUACUGCUCUUGCAGAGGACCCGGGUUUAGUUCCUAGCACCCACAUGGUGGCUCACAACCAUCUGUAGCUCUACUUCUGGGACUGAAUGGCCUCCUCUGUUCCACAGGCUCAUGAAUGUGCAUGCAUGUACACGCAUGCACACACACACACACACACAAAUAAAUAAAUACAAUUUUAAGUGCA